UUGCUUUGCGAUCUUUCUGUUCCAUGCCUACAGUAAGCACAAAAAGGCUGCUUUGAGUUGGUGCAAAUUAGCUCUUUUUGGUUAUUGUGGGGGCUAUAGGAGACAUGGGUAAUUGCUGCAUUUGCUUCCUUUUCUUCUGGGGUUUACUGACAUUUCAGAUAGUAAAUGAACAAUUCCUUUCCCCUACCGAUGUUUUCUGUUGGUUUUGGUUGAAGAAUCCUUGGAUGCUAAAUCCAUAUGCUUUGCUUGUGUUUUUUCCAGGCUCAGUUAUAUUGGUAUGGGCACGGGGGGAUGCUGUGGCAGCACAGACCUCUUCUCUGCACAAAGGGAGAUGAGGGAGGAGAGAGAGCCUGAAUCUGUGUGAUGCCCACAACAUCCCAUGGCCACAGGGUGCUGUGUCCCUGCCCUCUUCACCCUAGUUCCUGCUGCAACUGCUGAACACGGGGCACUGAGGAUCCCUCUUGGGAGCAUCCAGCUCGUUUUUUGCCCCCAGCACUGCUGCAGGCAUGGGGACACGUCAGUGGAGUGGAAAUGCGUGUAGGUGCAGCCAUUCUUUGCCAGUGGUGGGGAAGGAUGGAUGGGUGCUGAAGGGAACAGGGCUGCACAGCUCCUACAGGACUUUCUGCUUUGUUUGCAAGCAUCAAAUCUGCACAUUUUCUAUUGAGACCUUGGGCCUCACUUUACCUCCUGGGUUGACAUGGUAUCAGACACUGGCCAGUCCCAUGCUCCAGAGCAAGGGAGGGAAAAUCCAGCUCCUCUGCUGCCUCUAGGUAGUUUCCCUCUUAAUCCAGGCAUGCACAUAAAUGUCUGCUUACAUGCUCACAAAGAACCAGUGCUUGCCUGUGGCUGCAUGUACAUAGUGUGACAGGUUUUUUAGGCCUCAAGCAAUGCUAUCUGGAAGUGUGAAGUGAACCAGAUCAGGCCCUCUGAUGUAGAGGCGAAGCAGCUUUGUAUAACCAUGGUGUUUCAAUGGUGAAGUGUCUGGAUUCCAGGCCCAGAGCAUGAAAGACAAGAAUCCACAAGGCCUAAAAGCCCAGAUGUCACUGUAUAACCUCUGAAUGGUGAAAGUUCACUCUGCCUUGUCAUUGGACAGCAGGAAUGGAGAGUAGCUGUGAGGCUGGUGCAAUGAGUUGGUGGUUUGCAGGCCAGCUGCAGAAGCUCUGUGUUGGCUGGCAUGCCCACAUCCACUCAUGCAUUAUGCAAAGGCAGUAAACUGCAGAAGCACUGCUUGGCUCCUGGGGUUAUGAGUGCUGCAGAGUUCUUAGACCCUCAGCCAGACCUAUGGAGCCCUAACCCCAAACUGAUCAGUGGGGACAUAAUAAGCUUUUGAAGUUCUCCAGCCUGUCCAAGUUGUGGAGCAGGGUUGUGAACCUUGUCAUUCUCUGUGAGAAUGUUGCUUUUACAAUUAAAACCCACGCAAACCCUCAGCCCUCGCUACUGCUUGUGUUACCCCAGUGAGAUAUCUGACAUUUGAGACAGAAUGGGAAGUCAAAGAAUGCAAGGAAUUCAAUGACUCAACAUAGCUUUUAUUAUACCAUCCUACCGUUUAAUCCUAUGCAAUGUAAGAUUGUUUUACAGCAUGUGGCACAGUUCUGUGGGUUAAUUUGUAAGCAAACAGUUAUUCAAAUAGGAACUUUUUUUCUGUGCCUACAUAAACUUGUUAUCUGUUUGGCAGCAGGGGAUGCUGCAGAGAAAUGCACAUUUACAUUUUUGCAUUGAUGUUAUUUGCUUUUCCUGGAACAACUCAAUGGUGCACUGACUCUGGGACCCUACUACUGAACUUGACCUGGGAGUGGCGUGGAGAUAAGCCAAAUUCUAAGAGUAAAGGAGCCCUUUGUGUGGAGAUGCCAAUAUAUUAGGUCUCACUUUUAGGUCACAAACUUGUUAGGGUUUCUUUCAAAGUGAUGGAUUCUGCUGCUAAAAUUUCAUGAUGUCUGUUAAAUCAUAGAGUCGUGAACCAGUGCAUGUGCUGAAAAUGGUUUGCCAAGGGACCAUGAAGACAAGGCCUUGUGUCAGGAGAUUUCCAAAGCAAAUUGGAUUUUCCACACAGCAAUGGCUGUGUUUGAAGGUCUGUCAGUGGCCUGUAAAAUUCUCCACCAGUGAUAAUAAGACAGAAUUGCCAAGCACUGAAGCAAUGUCACAAGCAUUACAGAAUAAAUCGCUCCCACUCAGGACAUAAUAGCUUCUUGAUCAUCAGUCACAGAAUUAUCCCAACCAGCAACCAGACUGGAGGAGGCUGCUCCCUCUCCACUAGGAGAUUAUCUCAGAGCUCCUGGGCUAUGGUCAUUGCAGAGAGCCCAGUGGCUACUGGGAGAAUGGGGCCAAGCAGUUGGGUAGGUGGGCUUAUAGGUCGGAUGCAUAGAGAAGGGAACAACACAAUGGGUUGGGUUUCUGAGAAGUCCUCUGGGAUUAUCUGCUCAAGCUUGAGACCAAUGCCAGGACAAGCAUAUCCACAAAGUCAUCCUGUUUCCCAAAAGGACUGGGAAGAAGUUCGGCCUGCUUGCUCUAUCACAAGAAGAGUUGUGGAGGCUUUUCUUCCCUAGUUUGUUUUCUACAUCCGUUCUCUGUCUGGAUGUCAGUUGUACAUCAUCUACUGGGUGGGAAAUUCAGCAGCUGGUAUGCAGAUCCAUGAACAGUUUUUCUACCUUCUGUAUUGAGACCUGUGAAGACAGAACUCUUCAAUCACAAUAUUCUUCCCCCUUUAUCACAUGUAUUGAUAUAAGGAUCACAUCUAAGAGCAUUUCCAACAGGCUACUAGAGUCACUGAAGCAGAAUAACCUUUAGCCCAGCUCCUUUGACAGUGCUGGUGAUACAGGAAGGAUGAUUUGGUUCAUUACAUAGCAUCCUUAACUGCAAUGGCUUGCUAAGCAUCUCAGCAUGGAGCCAAGAGGUCGGGUGUUGAACUUGAACUUACACCCAAUGCUAACAGAUGGGGAAAGAGCCAGUUGUGAUGGCAGUAUGUUUUAAUGAUGAAGUCAUCUACAGUGUCUGUUAAGAUGACUGCUGUCACAAGCAUGAGAAAAUAAAUUAGAAGCUAAAAGCCCCAAGGAAGACCUCUCAGAAAAUAGUCUCAGUCCCAGCGGUUUGGCCAGCUUUCUGGCUGUUUUCAUUAAGGACUCUUAUAUGAUGGAGGAGGUAUGAAAUGAAAGUUCUGUAUUUUCAGAGCAGAUAACACCAUCAGUCUUGAGAUAUGAGACUUGGGUCUUGAAAGGCUUAGAUUUAAAAUCAUGUUUACUUUCAUUAUUGAACACUUGGUUUCUGUUAAAGCAUGAUGUAGAAGUACUUUUUGACCUCUACAAAGACUCAUGUUAUCUUGAAAUGAGGGUGUUCUAGCUUUUCUCUUGCGGUUCCUGAGAAGCAGGAGGAGUAUCCAGGGGACCCAGGAUGUCAUCUCUACCUGCCCUACCAUCUUCUGUGACAGCAGGCCAGCUCUUAAACCUUUGUUUAUUCCCCUGUACAGUGGUGUAAUGAUGCUUCAUGAUGACGAGGAAGGCAAUGGCUUUGUGAGAGACUGAAGCUUCCGGAUAGGAUCUGCAACGCUCAGGUUCAGAAGAGAACUAUGCAGCUGGCUCAAAGCAAGCUGGGCUUGCUGGAAACCAAAGGUAAAACAUCCACAGUCUUCCCGCAGAGUGCAUAAACCGUGUUUGUGGUUACACCGUAGCAGCAGGAGCAACUCUUCUGUGUCUCAGAGAGCUUAGUAGCUGUUCUGCCAUCUUUGCUCUUUGAAAUGUGAGAGCAAAAUUAAUUUCAGGAGAAGAAUAAAUGGAUUUAGAGCAAGGAUGAAUUUGGCUUCUAGUGCCACAGGAAUGCAAGAAAUCACCCAGCGAGAGAAAGAAGGCUAAACAAUGCAAACCUCUCAUAAAUCUGGGGAGAAAUUUUAAUCCAGAGUGCUUGCUGACCUUCACUGAUGCUCUCCUUCAUCUCACCAGUGUUUUAUUCUUCUUAAAUCCAGCCCCACCACUGGCAGACCUUCAGAGAAGUCGGUUCUUGCACAAACAGGAAGGCAGACUCCCUUCCCAUUAAUUGAGGUGGUGCUUCCAGUCCUCGGCCAGAGGACACAGGGGCAGGGAGGUGUUUGCUUCCAGGACCAGGACUGGAGGUGGUCUGGGAGAAAUACAUUUCCUGGGUGGGCAGAUCUGGCCCUUCCUGGGCAUCAGGUUCACAGCCAGCUAAGGGACAAACUGUCAUUUGACUGUCCUGGGAGGAACUGAUUUCUAUCCUGAAUAUACUUCGUGCUGUGCAACCAGGAGUGUUGGACCCCUCCAGAUGCCCUAUGAAUGCAUUUCUCAAAGACUGCCUGGGAGGAAACUCAAUCACGUUUCAGUUUAAUGAAGUGAUACACAAAGUGAUGAUGUCUGGAACUGACCUUGCUGGAUCUUCUCCUUCCCGCUAUGACUGCCAUAACUCCCGCAGCAGCUGAGAUUGCUCAGACAUCUGCAGCUCCACAUUGAGCCUCACUGCUGGAUUUGGUCUUGUGUUACCUAGCUGAGAUGUGAUCCUGGCAGGUCUGGGUAGGGGCUGCCUCAUGCCAUGCUGGGAACAAUGCAGUGUGCCUGUUGGCAGCUCAACGGAAACCAACAGUGGAAUUACAGCAGACAAUGUAUGAUGGACCACAAAAGGCUUUGAAAGUUUUUUCCAUGGAAGGCCAGUCCAAUCCCAUUAUAAUCCACAGUACAUCUGCAAUGCGUAGGACUUGCUGGUAACGUGUAUAUGCAUUAUUCCUUUAAUAAAAGCAAAUGAUGGCAA